rnacentral:tRNA from 1 species
GCGGGAGUGCCGGAGCGGCCAAACGGACACGGUUCAGGGCCGUGUGGCUUAGUGCCUACGCAGGUUCGAACCCUGUCUCCCGCA